GGGAUCGAAGAUGAUUAGAUACCAUCGUAGUCUUAACCAUAAACUAUGCCGACUAGGGAUUAGCGGAGUUUUUAAAUGUCUUCGUUAGCACCUUAUGAGAAAUCAAAGUUUUUGGGUUCCGGGGGGAGUAUGGUCGAAAGGCUGAAACUUAAAGGAAUUGACGGAAGGGCACCACCAGGAGUGGAGCCUGCGGCUUAAUUUGACUCAACACGGGAAAACUUACCAGGUCCAGACAUAAUGAGGAUUGACAGUUUGAGAGCACUUUCUUGAUUCUUUGGGUGGUGGUGCAUGGCCGUUCUUAGUUGGUGGAGUGAUUUGUCUGGUUAAUUCCGAUAACGAACGAGACCCCAACCUGCUAACUAGACUGGUCUAACUCACGUUAGAUCAGCGCUUCUUAGAGGGACAUUUCGGAUCUACCGGAAGGAAGUUCGAG
rnacentral:rRNA from 1 species